UUAGAGUUUGAUCCUGGCUCAGGAUGAACGCUGGCGGCGUGCCUAACACAUGCAAGUCGAGCGUGAACCUUUCAAAUGAAACUUCGGUCGAAUGAGGAAGGGGAAAGCGGCGGACGGGUGAGUAACGCGUAGGCAACCUGCCCUGUACAGGGGGAUAGCCUCGGGAAACCGGGAUUAAGACCUCAUAACACCUUUUUCUCUCAUGGGAAGAAGGUCAAAGAUUUAUCGGUAUGGGAUGGGCCUGCGUCUGAUUAGCUGGUUGGUGGGGUAACGGCUUACCAAGGCGAUGAUGGGUAUCCGGCCUGAGAGGGUGAUCGGACACAUUGGGACUGAGAUACGGCCCAGACUCCUACGGGAGGCAGCAGCUAAGAAUAUUCCACAAUGGACGAAAGUCUGAUGGAGCGACGCCGCGUGGAUGAUGAAGGCCGAAAGGUUGUAAAAUCCUUUUACACUGGAGGAAUAAGCAGAGUAGGGAAUGACUCUGUGAUGACUGUACAGUUUGAAUAAGCAACGGCUAAUUACGUGCCAGCAGCCGCGGUAACACGUAAGUUGCGAGCGUUGUUCGGAAUUAUUGGGCGUAAAGGGCAUGUAGGCGGAUUUGCAAGCUUGAUGUGAAAUCCCGCAGCUUAACUGCGGAACUGCAUUGAGAACUGCAAGACUAGAGUUACUGAGGGGAAACUAGAAUUCCGAGUGUAGGGGUGAAAUCUGUAGAUAUUUGGAAGAAUACCCAUGGCGAAAGCAAGUUUUUGGCAGAUAACUGACGCUGAGGUGCGAAGGUGCGGGGAGCAAACAGGAUUAGAUACCUGGGUAGUCCCGCACAGUAAACGAUGUACACUAGGUGUUUGACCAUGAGGUUGAGUGCCAUAGCUAACGCAAUAAGUGUACCGCCUGGGAAGUAUGCCCGCAAGGGUGAAACUCAAAGGAAUUGACGGGGGCCCGCACAAGCGGUGGAGCAUGUGGUUUAAUUCGAAGCAACGCGAAGAACCUUACCAGGGCUUGACAUCCCUCUGACAGGCUUAGAGAUAAGUCUUUUCUUCGGAACAGAGGUGACAGGUGGUGCAUGGUUGUCGUCAGCUCGUGUCGUGAGAUGUUGGGUUAAGUCCCGCAACGAGCGCAACCCCUGUUGUUAGUUGCCAUCAUUAAGUUGGGCACUCUAACGAGACUGCCGGUGACAAAUCGGAGGAAGGUGGGGAGGACGUCAAAUCAUCAUGCCCCUUAUGUCCUGGGCUACACACGUACUACAAUGGCGAUUACAGAGGGCAGCAACAUCGCAAGGUAGAGCAAAUCCCCAAAAGUCGCCCCAGUUCGGAUUGCAGGCUGAAACUCGCCUGCAUGAAGUCGGAAUUGCUAGUAAUGGCAGGUCAGCAUACUGCCGUGAAUACGUUCCCGGGCCUUGUACUCACCGCCCGUCA
rnacentral:rRNA from 1 species